rnacentral:rRNA from 1 species
CACGUAGGGGGCAAGCGUUGUCCGGAUUUAUUGGGCGUAAAGAGCUCGUAGGUGGUUCGAUAAGUCGGGUGUGAAACCUCCAGGCUCAACCUGGAGACGCCACCCGAUACUGUCGUGACUAGAGUCCAGUAGGGGAGCGUGGAAUUCCUGGUGUAGCGGUGAAAUGCGCAGAUAUCAGGAGGAACACCAGCGGCGAAGGCGGUUCUCUGGGCCUGUACUGACGCUGAGGAGCGAAAGCGUGGGGAGCGAACAGG